AUCACAUCUGACGAGUCCCAAAUAGGACGAAACGCACGUCAAACUGGAU
rfam:Schistosoma mansoni, Puerto Rico, WGS project CABG01000000 data, contig: 0549